GUGAUAUUCUGGCUUGCUUGCAGGUUUAUCCUAUUCUUUGACGUAAUAAAUGUAUGUGGGAAUAACAUUGAUAUUAUAAAAAUAUGUCCAGCUAAUGAAUUUGUUAAACUGAUUUGCUUUAAUUAGUACAAUAAAAUUUACUACUUGCAUUUACAAUUAAUCUCUUGUACAAUUUAAAUGUGCUUUGCAUUGUCUAGGCCAUUAGAAUUUUUUUGGUCAUUCUCUUCAUUUGCUGGCGCUUUUAGUUGUUCCUGUUUUAACUUGAUUUACUUAUAGUUUGUGGCAAAUCUUGUCUUUCUUCUGUUGCGCAUGAACACCUUCUCUCUAUAGUUUUAAAUUUCACUUUCUAGAUAAUGUUAUGCCUAUCGAGCAUACAUGCAGCAGAGAGAAAACCUAACUAUUGUUGUUUACUUAUUCCCACCAUUUAAAGUUGUUUAGUCCUAUUUUGUUUUGGCAGGAAAAUGGUGAAUGGACUGA
rnacentral:misc_RNA from 1 species